rnacentral:rRNA from 1 species
UAAAGCGCAUGGGGGCGUGCCUAGUACAUGCAUGUCGAGCGAAUGGAUUAAGAGCUUGCUCUUAUGAAGUUAGCGGCGGACGGGUGAGUAACACGUGGGUAACCUGCCCAUAAGACUGGGAUAACUCCGGGAAACCGGGGCUAAUACCGGAUAACAUUUUGAACUGCAUGGUUCGAAAUUGAAAGGCGGCUUCGGCUGUCACUUAUGGAUGGACCCGCGUCGCAUUAGCUAGUUGGUGAGGUAACGGCUCACCAAGGCAACGAUGCGUAGCCGACCUGAGAGGGUGAUCGGCCACACUGGGACUGAGACACGGCCCAGACUCCUACGGGAGGCAGCAGUAGGGAAUCUUCCGCAAUGGACGAAAGUCUGACGGAGCAACGCCGCGUGAGUGAUGAAGGCUUUCGGGUCGUAAAACUCUGUUGUUAGGGAAGAACAAGUGCUAGUUGAAUAAGCUGGCACCUUGACGGUACCUAACCAGAAAGCCACGGCUAACUACGUGCCAGCAGCCGCGGUAAUACGUAGGUGGCAAGCGUUAUCCGGAAUUAUUGGGCGUAAAGCGCGCGCAGGUGGUUUCUUAAGUCUGAUGUGAAAGCCCACGGCUCAACCGUGGAGGGUCAUUGGAAACUGGGAGACUUGAGUGCAGAGAGGAAAGUGACUUCCAUGUGUAGCGGUGAAAUGCGUAGAGAUAUGGAGGAACACCAGUGGCGAGGCGACUUUCUGGUCUGUAACUGACACUGAGGGGCGAAAGCGUG